rnacentral:rRNA from 1 species
CCCUUAGAUGUUCUGGGCCGCACGCGCGCUACACUGUUCGACGCAGCGAGUCUUAACCUUGACCGAAAGGUUUGGGUAAUCUUCAGCAAAGUCGAACGUGAUGGGGGUCGAUCAUUGCAAUUAUUGAUCGUGAACGAGGAAUUCCUAGUAAGUGCAAGUCAUCAGCUUGCGCUGAUUACGUCCCUGCCCUUUGUACACACCGCCCGUCGCUACUACCGAUUGAAUGGUUUAGUGAGAUCUCUGGAUUGACGCUGGCUAGGGGGCGACCCUUGGCCAGACUGCUCGAGAAACUGCUCAAACUUGAUCAUUUAGAGGAAGUAAAAGUCGUAACA